CCGAAUUCCUGCUGACCUCAGAAUCAUAUCUGCGAAUGGCUGCAAGGUGGAUAACUCCUCACUCACUGGUGAAUCAGAACCCCAGACUAGGUCUCCAGAUUUCACAAAUGAAAACCCCCUGGAGACGAGGAACAUUGCCUUCUUUUCAACCAAUUGUGUUGAAGGCACCGCACGUGGUAUUGUUGUCUACACUGGGGAUCGCACUGUGAUGGGAAGAAUUGCCACACUUGCUUCUGGGCUCGAAGGAGGCCAGACCCCCAUUGCUGCAGAAAUUGAACAUUUUAUCCACAUCAUCACGGGUGUGGCUGUGUUCCUGGGUGUGUCUUUCUUCAUCCUUUCUCUCAUCCUUGAGUACACCUGGCUUGAGGCUGUCAUCUUCCUCAUCGGUAUCAUCGUAGCCAAUGUGCCAGAAGGUUUGCUGGCCACUGUCACGGUAAGAGGCAGGUGAUGGUCACCCUGACUCAGAUCAGCUUGCAUGAAUGUUACACUCUUCCGCUAUCCUAUUCUAAGGUAUUGCCAACUUAUGUUUUAUUCUGGAUGUUUGAUAUAGUUUUUCUUGAGAGCCACAUCACGUGGUGAGUUUUGACAGUGAGAAAACCUCAGCAUUUGUUUAUACGUAAGAUAACUCCAAAGCAUACAUUUGGCUUUUAAAUGAUCACGUGGUCC
rnacentral:sRNA from 1 species